UAGCUACAGGCUUAACACAUGCAAGUCGAGGGGUAGCAGGGUAGCAAUACCGCCGACGACCGGCGCACGGGUGAGUAACACGUAUCCAACCUUCCCAUUACUCGGGGAUAGCCUUUCGAAAGAAAGAUUAAUACCCGAUAGUACAAUGAAUAGGCAUCUAUUUAUUGUUAAAGAUUUAUUGGUAAUGGAUGGGGAUGCGUUCCAUUAGAUUGUUGGUGAGGUAACGGCUCACCAAGUCUUCGAUGGAUAGGGGUUCUGAGAGGAAGGUCCCCCACAUUGGUACUGAGACACGGACCAAACUCCUACGGGAGGCAGCAGUGAGGAAUAUUGGUCAAUGGGCGAGAGCCUGAACCAGCCAAGUAGCGUGAAGGAUGACGG
rnacentral:rRNA from 1 species